GAUCCUGGCUCAGGAUGAACGCUGGCGGCGUGCCUAACACAUGCAAGUCGAGCGAAGCACUUUGCUUAGAUUCUUCGGAUGAAGAGGAUUGUGACUGAGCGGCGGACGGGUGAGUAACGCGUGGGUAACCUGCCUCAUACAGGGGGAUAACAGUUAGAAAUGACUGCUAAUACCGCAUAAGACCACAGCACCGCAUGGUGCGGGGGUAAAAACUCCGGUGGUAUGGGGUGGACCCGCGU
rnacentral:rRNA from 1 species